CAUAUGGGCAGAAAACAGCCCAGGCUCCCUCGAAGCCACCUCUACAACUGUUACCUCGUCGCCCAGUCACCUGUAGCAGGAAGAGGGCGCUCUUAACUGAUGGCUCGACCAGCGACAAAUGAUGGGAGA